GUGGUCUACACGCAACACUUGUUCAUAAGGACUUGGAAAACUUCCUCUGCGAGUUGCCCCGAUCCUCGCUACCCAGUACUCGUCUUGAGCACUGCAGCAAAUAUUCAGAUUUUUAAUUGCAUUAUGGUGAGGAACACUUGGAUCGCAGAAGAUUAAUAGCACCUUCGCCAGGCUGGAUAAAAAUUUGCUACACGAAGACAACGCAGCUGGUUAUUUCAACAACGAUCAUAGUAAUUGUAAUUUUUCUGCGGAGCGUUUACAUCCUCUCUUUAAUGUUAAUAUCGAGCCUCAGAAGGAGGUCGUUAUCCUCGAGCGCAUUUGUAUACAAAUAGUUUUGUAAACGAUGGAUCUGGACGGUACACGUAUAAUUAAGAGAAACUGGUUCAGUGAGCGGGUAUAUACCUGGCCUGCGACGGGGUCUGGGUUCUUAUUCCACACUCAAGGUUCUUGCACUUGACCCUGAGAAUCUCACCGGUCGGGCACUUGGAUGGUUUGAAAGUCAGAAUCGUUUUGUCCGUAGGUUUCUCGUUGUAAGACAGAGUGUAAUACACGCUGUUGGAUGCUGGCUUUUCGUCCAAUACCUUCUCUACUGUAUCGUAAUCUCUGAGAAACGAUGAAAAAUUUAAAUUUCAUUUAAAAUAAUUUUUCAUAAUUUUAAAUAAUUCUUAGGAAACGUUAGAAAAAUCGAAUUUAAGCAAAUUAAUUUUGAUUCAAAUUAGUACUUACUGAUAAGUAAUCGCUUUGCAAACAGCUCUACCGAGGUCCUCGAUUGUCCAAAUAGCUUGUCUCUCUUGCAAAAGAUCGUCCAUUCCGUUUAAACACAAUUUCCCCCAUUUGCCAUUCUUUCGAAUAUUUAAAUACCCUUUCUCGUGAUAACUGUUAAUCUCUUUUUUGAAAUUAAUCGCAGUCGUGUCAUUCUUCUUUGUGUUUACGUGAAUAGAGUUCCCAUGAGUAAGGAUAUCCUUCGUGUUCGACGAUAUUUCUCUUCCCGAGACGAGAGCUGCCGUCUUUGAAUGUUUACGAUUGUCAAACAAGCUUUCUUCCAUAGUAGAAACAUCUUUGGUGCUUACAAUCUUCUCCAAUUGAACAUUGCUUUUAAAUGUGGCACGUAACGUAGUUGAUUCUGAGAUCAAAGAUUCGACAGCUUCUUGAUCAAAGAUGUCCCUGUUGGUGGUAGAUUCUGUCUCUAAGAAAUCUUCUUCAUAUUCUGUUGUAACGAUGCCAGGAUUACGAUUUUCAUUGUUAGGAAACGCGUUUGUUUUGUAAUAAUUUAACAUUGCCUCGUCUUCGAUCAACGCAGCACACUUCUUCUCGUCCUCUCCUCCAGGACAAUCAGUGAAACCGUUGCAAACCUUAUCCUGGUCUAUGCAGGAUCGACUGUUCCCGCAAACGAAUUGACCCUCUUCGCACCAAUCUGUUAAACAGUUGGGAAUGUAACAAGCAAUUGUUAAAAAAAGUGAACGAUAAAUACCACAAUCUGCUUCGUCCGAAUAAUCCCAACAAUCCGCGACACCGUCACAAAUCUUCUGAUGUAAAAGUUGCGCUUUCAAAAAUUCAGCGCACGUGCAGUUGGCCUCGUCUUCUGAAUUCGAACAUUCGCCUAGCAUGUUGCAUCUACCGCUGGCUGGUAAACAUUUCCCGUCUCUGCAUUGGAAACCGAAACAACGAUCUGUGAAAGAAGAUCCGACCUGUAGAUAAUUAUAUCCCAAACACCUCAGAAAAAGAAAAAUUCAAGACUAUAAAUCGGAAUUUCAAGUGGAAAAGGAUUUGUUUCAAAGUCAGAAGUGGAUCAGUUUAAAAUUAUUUCUAUUAAAACUUGAAGUAUACAAAAAACGGUGAUUGUGGAAUGGAACUAGCGUGUGUCACGGUCAGUUGUUACCUGAGAUUUAUCAUUGAGUUCAUGCGUGAAAUCAUUGAAUCGAUGUAAGAAGGACGAUGGGAAAGACAAAGAUUCGACCAGAACGAAGAAUUCUAGACGCGUCUCUGUUCAGAUUCUUUGUUAGAAUUGUAAAAUAAUUCCAACGAGUUUUAUUACACCAGAUAAGAAUUUUAAUUGGAUUAUAAUUAUUACAUUUAUAGUUUGAUCAUAAGGAUAAGAAAUAAUUUCAUGCUUAAGAGUUGUGGCUGAUAGAAACUUCACGCUCGUGCCGGUGGAAGUCAAUGCGUAAUGUGUAGUAUGAGGUCGUUGCCUCCAAAUAUGGAGAGCCGAAUUAUUUGUUACGCAAGGUGAAUGUCAUUAUCGUCCGGAAUGACAAUGGGAUGCUUUGAUGUUACGUGUACGUCAUUUACACUGAUUAAUGGGUAUACCAUUCGAGUGAGCAGGUGAUUUCUAACUUGAUGAGAAGGAUUGGUUCACAGUAACUACAGUCCCUGCCUAUCGAAUUAGGACCACUACAAAUUUUCAGAAUUUUUCACGUUUUCCGUAAAAUUAAAAGGCCUGUUCAAAUUAUAAUGAUAUAAUUUAUUAGCUACUGACAUAAUACACUACUACUGUACAUAACAUUGUAGGCGUUUAGUGGAGGGAGGAGAGGAUUUUCGUCUCCCCGGACGCUUUUAGUUCGAGCCGGGGACCGCCAGGUGGCAGCGAGAUGAUCGGUGACAGUGUUCUCGCAAGCGGUCGCCCGGCAUGCGGUUCGAAUAUGUAGAAGUUCCGAAUUGCAGUAUGAUAGGUGAAGCCCCUGGUGGGUGUAAUUGCUAACCCACUCAGGUUAGUUUGUUGAAGUAAAAGCGUCCUAGACCAAAAUUCCUUACACGCCUACAAUGAGUCAAGUAUUGGGCCUUCCGUACCCCGCUGAUGAACCUACCCGGCGCCACUUGGUUGGGAGGUGGCUGCUGGGAGAUGGAUCAAAUAGCGCAAUCGCGCCCUUAAACACCGCCGGUAUAAGUGCAAAUUUGGGAACGGCAGAGCGGGUUAUAAAUCCCACAAGGCUCCUUUGUACAAUGAUCUGUCUGGGACCAGGGAUCGUCUGUUGUCAGCCCCACUGGGACGAGUCUGACAGAUGAUCCCGAGACGGGGAAAACCCCUUUUUCUCCCAUCUCCUACAACAUUAUUAACACAGGUUAAUAUUUUCACCUAUUUCCACCCGUCGUUGCUUUGAUGACAGGUUGUCAUCCUUUGAAGAUCUUUAUAUCUUCAUUAUUUUCCCAAAUAUCUGUCCAAUCUCUACAAUUUUCUCCAAAUCUGAUCUCAUGCGCUAUCGAUACUCGAGCCUAACGUAAACGCUGGCACGGACCUUAAUCGCUCAUCACCUACAUAAUUUGAUUAUUAUCACGAUAGUAACAAAUCAAUUGCUAUGUAUACAUCGUUAUUAACGUAUUUAGUAAUUUGAAUGACCUAAGACAAUUUUCCAUA